rnacentral:rRNA from 1 species
UACGUAGGGACCAAGCGUUGUUCGGAUUUACUGGGCGUAAAGGGCGCGUAGGCGGCGUGACAAGUCACUUGUGAAAUCUCCGGGCUUAACUCGGAACGGCCAAGUGAUACUGUCGUGCUAGAGUGCAGAAGGGGCAAUCGGAAUUCUUGGUGUAGCGGUGAAAUGCGUAGAUAUCAAGAGGAACACCCGAGGUGAAGACGGGUUGCUGGGCUGACACUGACGCUGACAGCGCGAAAGCUAGGGGAGCAAACGGG